UGGAACGGGAAAGCUGAGAAGUGAAAUGAAAUAUUGAUUUAUAUGGAAGAGAACGGAGGAUACUCUCUCAGAACAUCCGUUGAUUAGAAAACUUAACACAAAAAAAAAAUGAAAUUUGGGCUCAUGAGAACUGCUGAUAAGCUGGCACAGAUACUCUAUGCAAAAAAGUUAACGUUCCGCUAUUUAAAUAACAGCAUAGUUUCAUUACGAAUCUGUGAGAACUGGUUGUGCUCUGUUUGAAAGAUGGAUGAUGCAUGCCACCGAAAUGUCCUGAAAUUAAAAUAUCAUAGAACACUGGUCUGAGCUGAAAACUAAAAUAAAAAAUUCAACUUUAAAUCUCUUAAAUGAUUGAUGCCAUGAAUUACAGCAGAGUUUAACGCAUUCCUUUCUUGUUUGAUACGACAUCAGUUAUCUUUCAGGUAACACUUAAUUUAAGCUGUUACGUAUGAUCCUUGCCAUUAUACGUUUGAUGUUUACCCCACAUGACUUCUCAUCAUAUUUCAUACAACAGGGUAUUUCAGGUGUGCCAAAGAUUAAAGACAAUUACAACCCAGCAACAUGGAUGCUUGAAGUUACGACAACAACGAUGGAGAUGAAACUUGGCGUAGACUUUUCACAGCUCUACAAAGAAUCGUCCAUAUACAAGUUAGAAAAAAAUUCUGGUCCAUUUAUACAAGCCACUUAUUCCGUAUGAGCUUGACACGAUAAAAUCAAAUAGUUUGUCUAAUAAAGUUCAUGCUAACGGCAAUAAACCAUAUGAGUCAAAAAGCCUAGAGACCAAGCUACCAAAACUUGGUCACAUUAGGAUGGCAAUAAUGGAAAAGUUGGACCCUUCAAGGAUCGGUUGAACUCAAACUAAGACUGAUCCUCUGCCAGAGCUACUUCCAAUAAGUCGAAAGUCUAGGUGUUCCCUUCUUUGUUGAUAUUAUUUCUUUGGAUGCUGAUGCUAAGAGCAGUGGAAGCUAAAGCUUAGGAAUGGAAGGGAACCUGCUACCUUGAAUCAAUCAUUUUGCCGUUCACAUGAUGUUUAUAAAGAGAUCAUUGAUAGAAAGGGCAUUUAGGUCAGUCUACAGAUACGGUGUUAGCUGACAGCUGUCCUGGAAUAAUUUACUCCGAAGAUCUGUUAGAUAUGAAACCUCGUUGUGCCAAUUAUAAAAAAUAUGCUCUAGUUGAAUUACGUGCUACUAUUUUUGUUAUGCAAAGGCAAGUUCAGCAGCAAUCUGUUGACAGCUACAAUAUGUAAGUACCGUUUGUUUUGUGCAGGAACAACUUAGACCUUGUUCAGCAACAUAGCACACCUCCAGAGGGCUCUAAGGAACUGCACUUCCCAACAAUUUUCUCACAAAAGUUCUGGGGCCAAUUCAGAGCUUGCUUAUGGAAGCAACACUUAUCCUACUGGAGAAGCCCUCAAUACAACUUGGUGCGCCUAAUAUUUGUAGGCAUCUUAUCAAUAGCACUCGCGGCAGUUUUCUGGCAGCAUGGGAGAACAUUGUAAGUUCUCAAUAAUUGGGCAUUUGAGGAUCUUUGUGCUGAUAAAUUUAAGAAAAUAUCUAGUGUGACCACAGAAAAAAGAAAACUAGAAACUACAACAGUAUCAUAAAUGCAGAUACAAGCACAGAGGAUAUAUUCUUAGUCUGAGAAAUCGUAGGACGGAUAAAAAUUAAAUUACACUGGGAUGAUUAAUUGAAAUUACCUUUAAAAAAUUAGACGAAUUCUGUGUUCCGAAGCAUGCAGGGAAGCCAACAGAAUAAUCGGCAGUGAAGAUCACCUAAAAAUUAUAACUAAAAAUACUUUAACUCUGAUUUGAAAUCUUAGCAUCUUAUGUAUGAAAAAUAGAAAGAAAAAGCAACAAGCAGAUUACACUAAAUGAAACCCAAUUGGAGAACCCAUCUUAAAAUUAUCAAUAGAAAAUCUACAGGUCAUGUUUGCAUUUUAACUCAUACUGCCAUGACUACUACUUAUUCUUUCUCUGUGAAGAAAUAACCAACAGGAUUUGUUCAACAUGCUUGGAUCAAUGUUCAUUAGCAUGAUCUUUUUGGGAAUACACAACUGUUCAUCAGUUCUACCAUUCAUUGCAAUCGAGAGAAAUGUUGUGUAUCGGGAAACAUUUGCAGGAAUGUACUCUUCAUGGGCCUAUGCCUCUGCACAGGUGCAUCCACCUCUAACAUAUAAAUUUUUCUCCCUUUGGAUCAUCCAUUCAAGACCACUGAUCUUUUCGUUCUGUCUUCGCUAAUAUUACACUUCUCUUUUCAGAUGGCCAUCGAGAUCCCCUAUGUAUUUGCACAAGCAGUACUAUUUAUGGGUAUUGCAUACUCAGGAAUUGGAUUCUACUGGUCUUCCUACAAAUUCUUUUGGUUCUUCUACACAAUGUUCUGCACACUACUUUACUUUAAUUAUCUAGGGAUGCUUCUUGUGUCAUUGACACCAAAUACUCAGGUGGCAUCAAUUUUAGCAUCUGCAUUCUAUGCAAUGAUGAAUAUGUUCUCGGGUUUCAUUGUACCUGGACCAGUAAGUGCUUCAAAAACAAUUCAUGUUACCUUAUUUUUCUGCAUCUCCAUCUCAUUUGUGAGACUCAAAG
rnacentral:lncRNA from 1 species